AAAAAUAUUGAUUUAGAGGCCUAAUAUAAGCUCAUAAUCGGUUGAGCGUCUCUACCAAUUACCGUAAUAAUUGACUAUAGGCCCACAGAAAUUGUGG
rnacentral:ncRNA from 2 species